rnacentral:rRNA from 1 species
GAUCCUGGCUCAGGAUGAACGCUAGCUACAGGCUUAACACAUGCAAGUCGAGGGGCAGCGAGAAGAAAGCUUGCUUCUUGCCGGCGACCGGCGCACGGGUGAGUAACGCGUAUCCAACCUUCCCCUUAGUAGGGCAUAGCCCGGCGAAAGUCGGAUUAAUACCCUAUGUUAUUCGUAGAGGACAUCUGAAAUGAAUCAAAGAUUUAUCGCUAAGGGAUGGGGAUGCGUCUGAUUAGGUAGUAGGCGGGGUAACGGCCCACCUAGCCUACGAUCAGUAGGGGUUCUGAGAGGAAGGUCCCCCACAUUGGAACUGAGACACGGUCCAAACUCCUACGGGAGGCAGCAGUGAGGAAUAUUGGUCAAUGGACGAGAGUCUGAACCAGCCAAGUAAGCGUGCAGGAUGACGGCCCUAUGGGUUGUAAACUGCUUUUAUACGGGGAUAAAGUGAGGGACGUGUCCCUUUUUGUAGGUACCGUAUGAAUAAGGACCGGCUAAUUCCGUGCCAGCAGCGGC